UUUUGUUUCUUCUGUGUCCUCCAGGUGCCAGCACCCCAGAUCCCAACUUUCUUUACAUUCAAACAGGCCAAGCAAGGGCUUCUUAAGGACCCGAUGAAACUUCCGUGGAACCACAAUAUACCGUGGUUGUUUGCACCUCAGAGUUUCUCAUCUCGGAAUCCAGCGCCCACAUUAAUUCAGGGCAGCAAAGAAGCUAGAGACGUGGGAGGCUGUGCGGCGCUGCGCAAGUAAGUUUUAGAGAGCAGAAACGGUAGGGUCACAGUCCUUUGUUUUGACCUGGAGGAGGAGGAGGAGACCUUUCAGACCGGCCUAGGGGCUCAGCAUUGGAAAGCCACCCAGUUUCCCAGACUACCAGGGAUUUUAAAUGAGUGGGUCUUGUUUUGAAUAGAUAUUACAGGAGAGUGGUCCGUGUGGCUCCCUGGAAGUACAGAGAAACUACCUCCAUGACAUUAUGAUCUUUUGAGAGUAAUUUGUUUAAAUGUCAGGA
rnacentral:lncRNA from 1 species